rnacentral:tRNA from 1 species
AUUCAAAUAGUUUAAAAAAAAUAUUGAUUUGUGGAGUCAGAGAUAUAAUUAUUAUUUUGAAUA